UGGGGAAUUUUGGACAAUGGGCGAAAGCCUGAUCCAGCAAUGCCGCGUGUGUGAAGAAGGCCUUCGGGUUGUAAAGCACUUUUGUCCGGAAAGAAAUCCUUGGCUCUAAUACAGUCGGGGGAUGACGGUACCGGAAGAAUAAGCACCGGCUAACUACGUGCCAGCAGCCGCGGUAAUACGUAGGGUGCAAGCGUUAAUCGGAAUUACUGGGCGUAAAGCGUGCGCAGGCGGUUUGCUAAGACCGAUGUGAAAUCCCCGGGCUCAACCUGGGAACUGCAUUGGUGACUGGCAGGCUAGAGUAUGGCAGAGGGGGGUUAGAAUUCCACGUGUAGCAGUGAAAUGCGUAGAGAUGUGGAGGAAUACCGAUGGCGAAGGCAGCCCCCUGGGCCAAUACUGACGCUCAUGCACGAAAGCGUGGGGAGCAAACAGGAUUAGAUACCCUGGUAGUCCACGCCCUAAAACGAUGUCAACUGUUGUUGGGGAUUCAUUUCCUUAGUAACGUAGCUAACGCGUGAAGUUGACCGCCUGGGGAGUACGGUCGCAAGAUUAAAACUUAAAUGAAUUGACGGGGUCAUAGCUGUUUCCU
rnacentral:rRNA from 1 species